rnacentral:rRNA from 1 species
GACGAACGCUGGCGGCGUGCCUAACACAUGCAAGUCGAACGGAAGUCGGUUACGAAACGGAGUGGAAGAUUUAUCUGAAUGAAGUUUUGUAACAAUGGCUUUAGUGGCGGACUGGUGAGUAACACGUAAGCAACCUGCCUAUUAGAGGGGAAUAACAAUGAGAAAUCAUUGCUAAUACCGCAUAAGCUUGUAGCAUCGCAUGAUGCAGCAAGAAAAGGAGUAAUCCGCUAAUAGAUGGGCUUGCGGCUGAUUAGCUAGUUGGUGUGGUAACGGCAUACCAAGGCAACGAUCAGUAGCCGGGCUGAGAGGCUCUGCGGCCACAUUGGGACUGAGAUACGGCCCAG